rnacentral:misc_RNA from 1 species
GAUGAAGAACGCAGCGAAAUGCGAUAAGUAGUGUGAAUUGCAGAAUUCAGUGAAUCAUCGAAUCUUUGAACGCACAUUGCGCCCUUUGGUAUUCCAAAGGGCAUGCCUGUUCGAGCGUCAUUUGUACCCUCAAGCUUUGCUUGGUGUUGGGCGUCUUGUCUCUAGCUUUGCUGGAGACUCGCCUUAAAGUAAUUGGCAGCCGGCCUACUGGUUUCGGAGCGCAACACAAGUCGCACUCUCUAUCAGCAAAGGUCUAGCAUCCAUUAAGCCUUUUUUUCAACUUUUGACCUCGGAUCAGGUAGGGAUACCCGCUGAACUUAAGCAUAUCAAUAAGCGGAGGA